GUUCAAAAUAUGACGGGAUACAUAAGUACAGUUUCACGUCAAAUACGGCUGAAUUUAUCUAUGUAAAGUCUACCCAUAAAUGAUAGAAGGUUGUCAUUACUGGUGUAAAAUUGCGCGUUUGAAAUUUGCACAGGUAGACAUAAAAAUAAUUUUGUCGUAUGACGGCAUACAUAAAUGCAGACUCACGUAAAGUAGAUAUAACAAAAACCAG
rnacentral:lncRNA from 1 species